rnacentral:rRNA from 1 species
CAUUGGGACUGAGGCACGGCCCAAACUCCUACGGGAGGCAGCAGUAGGGAAUCUUCCACAAUGGACGAAAGUCUGAUGGAGCAACGCCGCCUGAGUGAAGAAGGUUUUCGGAUCGUAAAGCUCUGUUGUUGGUGAAGAAGGAUAGAGGGUAGUAACUGGCCUUUAUUUGACGGUAAUCAACCAGAAAGUCACGGCUAACUACGUGCCAGCAGCCGCGGUAAUACGUAGGUGGCAAGCGUUGUCCGGAUUUAUUGGGCGUAAAGCGAGCGCAGGCGGAAGAAUAAGUCUGAUGUGAAAGCCCUCGGCUUAACCGAGGAACUGCAUCGGAAACUGUUUUUCUUGAGUGCAGAAGAGGAGAGUGGAACUCCAUGUGUAGCGGUGGAAUGCGUAGAUAUAUGGAAGAACACCAGUGGCGAAGGCGGCUCUCUGGUCUGCAACUGACGCUGAGGCUCGAAAGCAUGGGUAGCGAACAGGAUUAGAUACCCUGGUAGUCCAUGCCGUAAACGAUGAGUGCUAAGUGUUGGGAGGUUUCCGCCUCUCAGUGCUGCAGCUAACGCAUUAAGCACUCCGCCUGGGGAGUACGACCGCAAGGUUGAAACUCAAAGGAAUUGACGGGGGCCCGCACAAGCGGUGGAGCAUGUGGUUUAAUUCGAAGCAACGCGAAGAACCUUACCAGGUCUUGACAUCUAGUGCAAUCCGUAGAGAUACGGAGUUCCCUUCGGGGACACUAAGACAGGUGGUGCAUGGCUGUCGUCAGCUCGUGUCGUGAGAUGUUGGGUUAAGUCCCGCAACGAGCGCAACCCUUGUCAUUAGUUGCCAGCAUUAAGUUGGGCACUCUAAUGAGACUGCCGGUGACAAACCGGAGGAAGGUGGGGAUGACGUCAAGUCAUCAUGCCCCUUAUGACCUGGGCUACACACGUGCUACAAUGGACAGUACAACGAGGAGCAAGCCUGCGAAGGCAAGCGAAUCUCUUAAAGCUGUUCUCAGUUCGGACUGCAGUCUGCAACUCGACUGCACGAAGCUGGAAUCGCUAGUAAUCGCGGAUCAGCACGCCGCGGUGAAUACGUUCCCGGGCCUUGUACACACCGCCCGUCACACCAUGGGAGUCUGCAAUGCCCAAAGCCGNANCCUACCU